CAAAAAGAAAAAUUUUCCAAGGAAUGGAAAGAGCGUCAAAAGAAGAACAGUAGUAUCAAUAAAGCCUACGAUUCAACAAGUUUGCUGCUUCAUAAAUGGCAGCUUUUGGAGAGGCAUCCCAUCCUCUUCCUGGCCAGGAGAAGGGAAGGAGGAUUUAUGGCAGAGUGUAUGUGUCCAUGGUUAAUUAACACCGAGGACAUGAAGGAUGCUUUUGAUACCAUGAAGAAAAUUUAUGAAAGUCCUCUUAACGUAACAACAGCAGUCGAAACUACAGCUGAGAUGGGGGAGAGGCCAGGACCGGGUACUCUUAGCCAGGACCGAGUACUGAGGAUCCACAGCUCAAUGAGGAGAGGGCUGACCCAGCCCUAGAGUCCACGCCUUCCAUCACUCCUCCUCUGUUGCCCUUUCAUGCUUUUUCUGAGUCCUCCUCCCCAACUCCUCUCUUGUCCCCUUGGCCCCAGUCCUCCUCUCCGACUCCUCUUGUAUCCUCCUGUCUCCAGUCCUCCUCCCCAACUCCUCUCUUGUCUUCCUGUCCCAAAUCUUCCUCCCUGCAUGCUCCAGUGUCUGUUGGACUUACCUCACAGAAGAAAAGACGCAGGAGGACAGCAGACACAGUUGGGCUGUGUGGAGGUCUUGGUGCAGUGGCAUCCUUGCUCUGGAUGUGGAAUGAAGUGGAAAAACUCUUGGGAACCAAAGGCAAAUAUUCAGAUACAAAACCCUAAAAUGAUUGUUAUAGU